rnacentral:rRNA from 1 species
UACACACCGCCCGUCACGUCAUGAAAGCUGGCAACACCCGAAGCCGGUGCGCCAACCGCAAGGAGGCAGCCGUCGAAGGUGGGGUCGGUGAUUGGGACG